UUAACCUUUUUGUGUCAUUUGGGGCAGCUUUUGUAUCCAACAUACUUUUAUGUUAGUUAGUUAGUUAGUUAGUUAGCACAUGUAUAUGUAAGAAGACAUGUUUGCAGAAAGAAGUCCAUUUUCAGUAUUUUGACUUGUUUGCCAAAACUUUAAAAGACACAAAUGGCUUAGAGCUUGAAAGUAGUUUUAAACAUAUAGAUGGAUUCCUGUGUUCAGUACCAACAAGAGUUAAUACAACAAAAGCAGCUGAGACACAGACUGUGGUAAGACUGCUUAAGUUUGUCUUCCAAGUCUGAUUUACUUAUUCCAUCUCUGUAUUCUGUAAAAUGGAGAUGUAGUUUUGUCUUUUGGUAAUGCAUUGGUUAUCACUUAAAACCAAGUUUGUUAAGUUGGAGCUUUAUAUUUCUGAGGAACUGAAUGUAGUAAAUUAUGCACAUAAUCCCAGCAUUAAAAAAGUUGAGUUAGUGGCCAGUCUAGGCUAUAUAGAAUCAGUUCCAGGCCAGCUUGGAUUACAUUGAGAAAUCCAAUCAAUUAACAAACAAAUUUCAUGUGUUUUGAAAUAUUUUUAGUAAAUAAUGGAAAGUGAUAGAAGCGUUCAGUUGAAUGUCUUCUAUGUGGCAUAUGCUUCACUAAUAUAGUUUCACAUAUAUCUUCAUUUUUCAAAUAAGUAAACUAAGUUACAGAGAGGUACAUGUUUGCUAAAUUGAAAAUUUGCCAAAAAUAAUACAGUUAGCAAGUAGUCUUCAUUUACCAACAAGAAAAUUGAGCAUUAGAGAAGUUAAAGACUUGCCCUAUGCAUUUGCAUAUUAUUUACUUUUUUGUUGUGUUUCUAAAGACAGAAGAUACAGUCAAAUGGUUUAAAUGGUAAAUGGAAACUAGAAGACCUAAAAGUUGAAUAAGAGCCACUGUUCAGUUGAUUAGUUAUGUAUUGCUGUAUAAUGGGAGAGAUGUGCAAGAGUGCGCAGAGAUAUACUGUUGGCCCUAAUUAGUGCCAGAUUCUUAUCUAUUACUACUUUCUAGAUGUCUUAGUUGUAUCACAAAGACUUGGUAUUUCUUUAUCUAUAGCUAUUAAGAGUGCACUGAUUCACUCCUGUUUUGUUUAUGUCAUUUACCUAUCCUAGUAUUUAUAAACAUUGAUACAAACAGUUGUGCCGAUGUAUCAAAUUCUUCUGAAUUUUACAAAUAAACUUGAAUAACUUAAAUAACUUUGAAAAUGUAUGCUUAUUUACAUAUAUAUAGUGUGUGCAUCAAAUCUACUUAUCAGUCAUAUGAAUCCAUAUGUGUUAUAAAUUGAUAUAUAUGUAAGUAUAAAGACAGGCAUUGAAUUAUGCUAGAGACAUGUAACCACUACUCACAAGUGGGAGAAUCAUGGCAUAAGCUUAGUUCAUGUCCUUUUUAUGUUUAUCAUUUUUACCCUGUGGGAAAUUGAAAACCUAUGAGGUGGUAUAACAGAUUUGCCAUGUAAUCUUGGUUAAAUUCAUUUAAAAAUUGCUGUACUUAAGUUGCUUUUUAAG
rnacentral:lncRNA from 1 species